UACGAAGGGGGCUAGCGUUGCCCCGGAAUUACUGGGCGUAAAGCGCACGUAGGCGGAUUGUUAAGUCGGGGGUGAAAUCCUGGAGCUCAACUCCAGAACUGCCUUCGAUACUGGCGAUCUCGAGUUCGGGAGAGGUGAGUGGAACUGCGAGUGUAGAGGUGAAAUUCGUAGAUAUUCGCAAGAACACCAGUGGCGAAGGCGGCUCACUGGCCCGAUACUGACGCUGAGGUGCGAAGACGUGGGAGCAAACAGG
rnacentral:rRNA from 1 species